rnacentral:rRNA from 1 species
UUAGACCUCAGAUCAGGCAAGACUACCCGCUGAACUCAA